ACAUGCCCGGGUAGCUCAACCGGGAGAGCGUGUGGCUUUUAACCUCAAGGUCGUGGGUUCGAACCCCACGUAAGUG